UACGAAGGGUGCAAGCGUUACUCGGAAUUACUGGGCGUAAAGCGUGCGUAGGUGGGUAGUUAAGUCUGAUGUGAAAUCCCCGGGCUCAACCUGGGAAUGGCAUUGGAUACUGGCUCGCUGGAGUGCGGUAGAGGGUGGUGGAAUUCCCGGUGUAGCAGUGAAAUGCGUAGAGAUCGGGAGGAACAUCUGUGGCGAAGGCGGCCACCUGGACCAGCACUGACACUGAGGCACGAAAGCGUGGGGAGCAAACAGG
rnacentral:rRNA from 1 species